rnacentral:rRNA from 1 species
GUGAGGAAUAUUGGUCAAUGGGCGGGAGCCUGAACCAGCCAAGUCGCGUGAAGGAAGAAGGAUCUAUGGUUCGUAAACUUCUUUUGCAGGGGAAUAAAGUGCAGGACGUGUCCUGUUUUGUAUGUACCCUGAGAAUAAGGAUCGGCUAACUCCGUGCCAGCAGCCGCGGUAAUACGGAGGAUCCGAGCGUUAUCCGGAUUUAUUGGGUUUAAAGGGUGAGUAGGUGGUUUGAUAAGUCAGCGGUGAAAGUUUGCAGCUUAACUGUAAAAAUGCCGUUGAAACUGUCGGACUUGAGUGUAAAUGAGGUAGGCGGAAUGCGUGGUGUAGCGGUGAAAUGCAUAGAUAUCACGCAGAACUCCGAUUGCGAAGGCAGCUUACUAAGCUACAACUGACACUGAAGCACGAAAGCGUGGGGAUCAAACAGGAUUAGAAACCCCGGUAGUCC